GAUGAACGCUGGCGGCGUGCCUAAUACAUGCAAGUCGAGCGAACGGACGAGAAGCUUGCUUUUCUGAUGUUAGCGGCGGACGGGUGAGUAACACGUGGAUAACCUACCUAUAAGACUGGGAUAACUUCGGGAAACCGGAGCUAAUACCGGAUAAUAUUUUGAACCGCAUGGUUCAAAAGUGAAAGACGGUCUUGCUGUCACUUAUAGAUGGAUCCGCGCUGCAUUAUCUAGUUGGUAAGGUAACGGCUUACCAAGGCAACGAUGCAUAGCCGACCUGAGAGGGUGCUCGGCCACACUGGAACUGAGACACGGUCCAGACUCCUACGGGAGGCAGCAGUAGGGAAUCUUCCGCAAUGGGCGAAAGCCUGACGGAGCAACGCCGCGUGAGUGAUGAAGGUCUUCGGAUCGUAAAACUCUGUUAUUAGGGAAGAACAUAUGUGUAAGUAACUGUGCACAUCUUGACGGUACCUAAUCAGAAAGCCACGGCUAACUACGUG
rnacentral:rRNA from 1 species